GAGUAUUGCACACAAUUUAAGACAAUGUGACGUGUGGAGGGUCUCAAAUCUAGCUAUAAAAAAGCAACCCGAGCAUUAACAGUAUUAAUGGGCUUUUGAGUUUCAACGCGUUAAGUCUAUUAAAAGCAAAAAAGUAUUUACGAUGAAAUCAAACACGAGUCUUGUGCUACUUGCAGUGUAUUUUUUCGGUCUUAUUAUUUCAUUAGAUGCUGUUGGUCUUCGUAACUUGGGGAGAUUCGUCUUUGGUCGUCAUGAUCGUCACAAUUUCGUGCCUCAAUCUGUAGUAAACCUUAAAAGAAAUAUUUCUGAUUUUGGUUUAGAAUUAGGUUUAACGGAACCGUAUUUAAUAGAAGAAAGUGCCGAUUUAGACGAAUUGCCAUAUUAUGUGGCAGCCGGUCUAAAUGCAAUAGACUUAUUUAAAAAUACCGGUGCUGAAGCGGGUCGUACAUUUUUAUUCAGAUCAUUAGAAUUAAAAACUAUCGAUAAUCCAGAACUGUACACGGAACAGGUGAUAAGGGAGCGUUUUGGUGGAGAUCCGAAUAACAUAAUAGAAAGUAUAAAUUCCGUCGUUGACUUAUUCGUAAUAGACGUGGAAAGCGAAUUAGCGGAAUCAUAAAUUCAAAAUAAAUUUUCAAAUUAAAUUUUAAAAAAUGCUGAUUUGUAAGUCGUAUAAUUUUUAUUCCUUUGGUUGAAUUUCUAAUGUGUAUUUUACUAAUAAACACUAUAUUUUAAAAUAUUGAAUUAAUUUACACUGCAAAAUACAGGUAAACAGAUUAUAAUGAUUCUUUAUGUAUUAACAUGAAUGUAUUAAAUAUUUCUAAAAACAAUUAGUUUUACAUGGUUGUCCGACCGUUCUAAUAUGCUACCUUGCUUGUAUGUUACAUUUAUUAUUAUUUAUUUAUUAAAUAAUAUGUAAUAAUCAAUUCGUUUUUAUUAGUGCGUUUCAUUUUAUUAAUAUUUAAAUAAAAAAGGUCACACCUAUCAACAGUCUAAUAUAUUCAGGUCCUAAAUUCUAAUAUUACUUUGGAGUCAUAUUUUUGGAGAAAAUCAAAAUUUAAUUUAUUUUAUAUUCAAUAUUGUCAACAGAAAUGAUUUAAAAAUAUUUCUUUAAAAUUAUAUUACAAUUAUUAUUUAGAAAUUAUUAUUAAAAUGUUUUAAGGGGGCUCCAUACAGACCAUUUUUAAGGAGUUUUGUAUAGGCAAUAUUUAAGAAAAAAUUGGUUUAAAUAAAUUUCGACCAUGUCAAUAAAUUUACCGGUUAAUUUGUAUAAGCUUCAAGGUAUUAUUUUUAAUUUAAAUCAUUUUAUCUAUGAGUAAAAGCCAUUUUAGUUAAUACAACACACAUUUUUUGUUCCAUCGCACAGGCUCAACCAGUCAUCCGAUAAGUAAUAUGAAAACAGAUUUGAAUUCGUCAUGGAAUUUACUUGAGAUCGGUCGACGUACUUUUUUGAUAUCUUAUUCUUACUAUUUAUAAAACACGUUUGAACAUUUUAUACGAUUUCAACAUUUUAAAAUAAAAUUUAGAAAGGGUUAAAAUUAAAAAUUGAAAAAAGUACCUCGACCGAUCCUAAAUAAACUUCAUGAAAAAUUCAAAUCUGUUUUUAGAUUGCUUAUAGAAUUACUGGUUAGGCCUGUACGAUUGAAUGAAAAUGAUGUGUUUUGACUGAAAAAAUAGUCUGUAUGGAGCCCCCUUAAUCCUGUAUUGUUUUUUUGUGGUAUUACGGUAAAAACUAAAAAUGUUGAUCGUUUUUAUUAAAGUCAAAACAUUUUUUUUUUCAAUUAUUCUACUUUUAACAUUGACUUGCAAUUACUUCGGGAAAAAUAGUUUAAUCUUGUCGAAAUUGAUACCAAACAUUUAAUAAGGAAUUUUAAUUUGAAAUAUUAUAAAGUGAUAUUGAGCGUUUGCGCAAAAACCAAAAUUUCAACGCGAUAAUUUUACAAACUGAAAAUAACACUGUAAAGACAUUAUUUUUUCAAAAAAAUAGCAGAAAUUCUAAUGCUGACUAAUUCGUCCAUCAUUUUGACGUCGCGUUGGUACAAUAUAUGUACAAAUACGAAUUUAGUAUUCGUUUUUAGAUGUCGAAGGCAGCAGUUUAAAAAAAAAUUCUAACAUAACCCGAGCAUUAACCGUAUUCAUUUACUAUUGAGUUUCUGUGCGUUAAGUAUAUUAAACAUAAAAAAGUAUUUACGAUGAAAUCAAACAUCAAUCUUGUGUUGUUUGCAGUGUAUUUUUUCGGUCUUCAUAUUUCUGGCAUACGUUCCGGUAUAGAAUUCGUGCCUCAAUCUAUACUAAACCUUCACAAACAUUUUUAUUUGUCUACUUUAGUAAAGUGUUUAAGAACAGAGCUUAUGACAAACGAGGAAUAUUUAGAUAAUUUAAAAUCAGAGUUGGCUGAAGCGGCUCAUACCGCAAGAAUUACAAUACAAGCUGGAGAUAUUGAAGGGGGACGUGUAUCUUUAUACAGUUCAAUAAAAGAAAAAAUUAUCGAUGACCCAGAACUUUGCACAGAACAGGCGGCGAACGAUUUGUUUGCAGGAGGUCUCGAAGAGGUUAAAAGACAUAUACGUUUUAUCGUCAACUUGUUUGUACAAGACGUGAGAGGUGGAUUAUGAAUCAUAGAUUUGAUAUUAAUCUUUAAACGAAACAUUCUGUUGAAUUGAUAAUUAUACUAAUUUUAGUUUCAUUUGUUUGCAAAAAUUAUUUAUUUUUAAACUAUAUAAUUAAAAUUGUAGUUAAUAGUUUAAUUUGUUACGUGUUAUCCUAUACUCUAUAAUUAUUUAUCAAUGGCGAUACUCCCUAUUUGACAUUUGCAUCUGGGAUUUAAAAAUUGUUUUUUAUACAUGGUUUUAUGGGAGAAUUAGUACAAUAUUCAUAUCCUACAAAUCGCACUCUCCAGCAUUAAAGUAUCUCUGUUGUAUUAAUAUACAUUAAAUAAAAAAAAAGGCCACCUAAUACUAAGAAUAUCUUCGUUUGAUGUUAUCAUUAUUGAAUUAUUCAACCAAAAUAAGCAUUUAUUACCUUUUGCAGUUUUUAGAUUAUGUUUGUUUUUUCCUUUUAAAAAUACAUUAUUAAUGUAAACAAAAAGUUAGUUAUUUUAGAUAUUUUGCUGAAAAAUUAUUUUAGAAAUUGUAAUGUGACUUAAAAUUAUACAUUCACAUAUCAACAAAUUGACGAAUAUUGUGAAUAUACAGGAUAAUAGUGCAAUAGCCAUAAGCAAAGAUGAUGUGUCGUUAAAAAUCUAUCAAAAAACUUGAAAUUUUCGAUUUUUUUUUAAAUAUUUUGUUCUCUGGGUUGCGGGAACAUAUGGAUGGGUCGAAAAAGUCAUUAUGGUUAUUGGGUGAUAUGCUGUU